ensembl:lncRNA
CUCAUUCCAUCUUAUUUGCUAACACUUGGUUUUGUGGUAGAUGUGAUUUGGGGCUUGUUCUUCAAAAGAUUUUCAAAUUUUGGCUUCUGUGUUUGCCUGAAUCUUUGAAAUAGCCCAUGAAAUGUUGUGACAUUGGAACAGUUUUCAUUUUUUUCCAUGUCUCCAAAACACUAGAAUAGUAAAGCAUGAUUAGAUUUGUUAAUGUGGCUAAUAGUUGAACCAAAAAUUUGCAUUACAUUGCCAACAAUAAGCACAAUGUAACUGGCAUAAUGCUGAUUGGCAGCUGCUUUCAUUUUAUUACAUUUUAAAAAACAAUCAUCUUAUAUAUACUACAAAUGUUCCUUUUCACUUCCACAUUCAAACAUGUUUUAAAAGUUUGCAUUUGAUACAGAAUGUGAUGUAUUUACAUUCUUAUCAUGUGUACAUUGCUCAUCCAUUGUCUCCAUAAUUUGCCUCUUUCAUCCAUCAUCCAUCUUACUGACCAAUGACCAUAAAUGACUUCACCUGCCUGCUGAUGACCUUUCACCCUGCAUUGUGAACGUACUUCUGAUGACAUCCUCGCCAUUCCUUAAUCCUCGCCAUCACAGAGGGUAAAUCAGUGGACCUGUCAAUUCAUUAAAUAGAAGUAACUUGCACUCUUUAUUGGGUAGCUUUAAACUGUUGUGAAGUACAGAAUAUAUUUCUGCCUUGUAAUUGAUGGUAUAAUAAUGAAUGAAGCCUAUUGGCAACCAGCAGUAUUGUGCACGUUUCUAGCCACCAAAUUCUUUUUGUCAUUAAUUUGUCCUGGUUUUUUUUUGCCCUUUCUUCUACCUCUCCACUUUCUGUAGGGGAGCCAGACAGGCCUGUACUGUCUUCUACUGAUGGCAAGUUAGAGGGAAACUCCUACUCCAUCCCAAUCAAACAGCUGGACGAUGGAGGACAGCCCAUUCAACAUUUCUUAGUGCGCUACAGGAUGGAAAAGGAGGGUGAGAACUGGAUAGAAAAGGAAAUGCCUGCUAACUCCACCAAGAUUCAGCUACAGGAUCUGCAGUACAACUCAGACUACCAGAUGGAGGUCUUCGCAUUUAACAUUAAUGGCUCUUCUGGGCCAGCCAAACUCAAUUUCACCAUUCCACAGGCUGUGAGUAAACCUAGCUUGGGUAAAGGUGGAGUGGCUGGAAUUGUCAUAGUUGUCUUCCUGGUGUUGCUGGUGGCGGUGGAUGCAUUCUGUUGCUAUACAAACCACUGUGGCCUGCUCAACUUCCUGGCCAGAAAACUGUUUGGCCACAAGAUGUCUGAGGCUAAGAGCUUGGAGGAAGGUGUGAUCAACAAUGCUGCUGUGAAACCACCUGCCAAUGGUGACUCAUCCAACGAAGCGCGACUUUGAAGGCUUUACUUCAUUGUAUUUUUAGAGGAAACACAACUCAAAACUCAAAAUAAUGGCCCAAGGAACAUAGGUUUCUGGAAAACCGAUGCUAAGGUGUAGCUCAAGAAUGUAAGAGGGAUUUGUCUGUAUAAUAGCAAAUAAUCUUGAGACGGAGAUGGUUAACCACAGGUGUUGAAAUACACACAGUUGGUGCAGAUAAGGAAGGCGCUGUUAGGUCAGAUCCAAAUAUAGGAUUAAAAUGGAGAGUGAAUUUAAGUAAGCAGCUAACUGUUUCUACAGUACCUAAUUAAUAAUAUUGUUCACUGUUAAAGCAAUAAUGCAUAAUGACCCUUCACUAAGCCCCACCCCUUUGCUUCAUCUGACAAGCUUUCAAAUUUGUUAACUUACAUUUACAGCAUUUACAUUGACGCUCUUAUCCAGAGCGACUUACAAUUUGAUUAUUUUUACAUAGGUAGGCCAAGGCAGUGUUAGGAGUCUUGCCCAAGGACUCUUAUUGGUAUAGUGUAGGGUGUUUGCCCAGGUGGGGAUUGAACCCCAGUCAACAGUGUAGAAGGCAGAGGUGUUAACCACUACACUAUCCCAACCUUGCAGGGAUAGACUAUUAACCUCUGAAUUUUUCAACAAUAAUUAGAUGAAAAUAUAUCCAAAAUAUUAGCGAGGAGUACACAAAAAGGUCUCCUAUAGAAAGGCUACAUAGAUGCAGAUCAGUUUAGAUGACUUGAAUCAUCUACGCCUACAUACAAGACAGAUCAAUUGACGACAACAUGUAUUUUAAAGAUAAUGUAUUGUGUUUGCCCUGGCGCUCUCUACGUGCUCAGAGCUGUUGCUAAAUAUUAAUUUAUUUUCAUUAUUUGAAGUGUAUAUUGAAUUAACCAUUGUUUGCACCAUUUUUGGACCCAUUGUAGCCUCUUAAACUCCUUGGGACCUCCGGUGGUUCCAAAACGCACUUCGUCAUGUUCUUCAUAACUUUCAUAUUUCAUAAGCUACAUUCAGAAGCUGAGCGUCGUGUGAGGCUGUAACUCUUCUCUCCAGUCUAAUAGACGGUGAUGUCAUUUUAAACCCUUAUAAUAAAAGAAGCUGAACUUUUCCAAAAAAAAAACAAAAAAAAAAGAAUAAAUAAGUAAAUAAAAUAAAAAUUUACAUUUAUUUCAUGCAGUUACUUGGUUCUGUAAAUUCAGAUAAAAGAACCAAAAUAUACCCUGGAGCAUAAGAGGUUAAAGUUCUGAAAGCUUGUCAGAGAUGCCCACACCACCUAGUUACCGUUUCGAAGCUGUGAUUGGAUGAUGAUAUUAAGGGGAGGGGUUUGAUGCUCGCUCAGAGGCCGUACAUUACGCUGCUUUUCUCUGAUAUGCUGUACAUACUGCAUGUAGUUUUACAAGAACUACAAUUAGGCUUUGUGAAUUUCAGCAUGCUGUAUUGUGAAAGCAGUUAUUAUGGGAGUAUACUAAUUCACAUGUAUUAUUACUGCUAAUUUAUUGUAAAUUUAAUAUAUCCUUAUAUUAUUAACAGCAACAAGUCUUGAAUGUUUUGCUGUUUUAUUGUUUUUUUUUUAGCUUCAACUGUUGAAGAACAUGUCUGUAUUUGAAACUGCUGACAUUGCUUUUUAUUGUUCAUUUCUGGCUGAUGGCAGAUUGUUAAUAGCAACUUACAAUUGGAUGUACAAACGUAUUUGUAUAAUUCAUGCUUCAGACUGCACUGUAUAUUUUUGUACAUACAUAUAUUGUCAGUUUUUACACUCUGUAACAUAUUUUACAAAAACAUUGUGAUCUGUGUGAAAUUUAUAAAUUUACAAUUAUG